GGGCCCGUAGCUCAGUCGGUAGAGCAGCUGACUCAUAAUCAGUUGGUCGGAGGUUCGAGCCCCCCCGGGCCCA
rnacentral:tRNA from 1 species